rnacentral:lncRNA from 1 species
CGAGCGCAGCCGGGCGCCCCCGCCGCCGCGCGCAGCCCGGGAGCGGCAGACGGGACAGGCGGGCGUGCGGACGCGCCGUCGGGGCCAGGGGAAGCGGAGGGGGCAGACGGCACCGCUCCGACGGGGGAACCUGCCCAGCAGCGCCGGAACCGGCGGAGAGAGCCGCUCCCCCCCUCCUCCCUCCCCAAUCCACCCCCGCGACCCUGGUCCUCCUCCUCCUCCUCCUUCUCCUCCUCCUCCUCCUCACCCCACUGGAUACAGCGAGGGAGACACUGCGGCGGAGGCGGCGGCGGCGGCGGCUCCUGCGGGGGGAAGGAAGCGCCCGGAGAGCGGAGCGGCAGGAGGCUGCGGAUCUGUGUGCCUGGCGCCCACCCAGCCCGAGGGGAGCCCCCAGAAUGCGGCUGAAGCCCGGCGCGCUCCUGCGCUUCUACAGCCUCUGCGGGAUCCUCAUACAAGGCUAAAUGAGGACAAUUGCCUAACUGGAUCUUCUGAAUGCACCUUGCCAAUACUAAGUUUGAAGACUAAUCUUGCUAAUCUACAGACCUGAGUGUAUACAUAUGCAUAAAGUAAGCAUCAGAGGAGAAGGAUAAGAUUUUCAAAGGUUGAAGACACUAGUAGUCAUGUGGAAGAGGCUUCAGAUUAAAACCGAACUCUGAUCACAGACUGUCCCAGAGUCUCAGCUGCUAGCAAGAGGUAUGGUUAGUGAAGUUUGACACAAGUAUCCUAUUUGAACACUGCUUCUCUGAUCCUUGUAAGAGCCAGGUUUUUUCUUCCUUAAAAUGAAACUAAGAGUUCUCUCUUAUAAUCUUAACUCACUGUAAUUUGUCCCUGAAAACGACUAGAUCAGUAAAAUCUUCUUAAACAGGAUUGUAAGAAGUAAGGAAGCACUAGAACUUUCUAAGAAAUGACAAAUACGCACUCUGGACACCUGUUCAGGAUUCUACUUCAUUGGUGGUAGUUAACUGUGAAAAUGUAGAAGUAAGAAAACUGUAGUAAUAAGAAAAAGGGUUAGAAAAACAGUUUGAUACAGAAUGGCAGAAUUCCUGGUGGCAGAGAAAACCAUCUAUUUUUCAAUAGUGUAUUUUUAAAUUUCCAUUUUUUUCUAAUUUAUUGUUAUUUUUUAUUUUAGUUACUGAAUAAUAUAACAUUUAUGCAUGGGAAAUUUGAAUCUUAAGUUUC